rnacentral:antisense_RNA from 1 species
CUUCACCGAGCCCAGCAGCAGCGGCCGCUCCGGAUCCCGGUCCUGACCAUAGGUGGCCAACAGGGCCUGCGCCUC